AAGUCGUAACAAGGUCUCCGUUGGUGAACCAGCGGAGGGAUCAUUACCGAGUUUACAACUCCCAAACCCCUGUGAACAUACCUAUACGUUGCCUCGGCGGAUCAGCCCGCGCCCUGUAAAAAGGGACGGCCCGCCCGAGGACCCCUAAACUCUGUUUUUAGUGGAACUUCUGAGUAAAACAAACAAAUAAAUCAAAACUUUCAACAACGGAUCUCUUGGUUCUG
rnacentral:misc_RNA from 1 species